rnacentral:rRNA from 1 species
UACAGAGGUCUCAAGCGUUGUUCGGAUUCAUUGGGCGUAAAGGGCGCGUAGGCGGCGCGGUAAGUCGGGUGUGAAAUCUCGGAGCUUAACUCCGAAACUGCAUUCGAUACUGCCGUGCUUGAGGACUGGAGAGGAGACUGGAAUUUACGGUGUAGCGGUGAAAUGCGUAGAUAUCAGGAGGAACACCGGUGGCGAAGGCGGGUCUCUGGGCCGAUACUGACGCUGAGGAGCGAAAGCGUGGGGAGCGAACAGG